GAGAUUUAUGAUCUGGAUUGGGCCGUGGUAAUGGCUAGGCAGAUUUGGGCCGAACACAGUUGGGCCGUGGUAGCAUGGGCCUGUCUAGAAAGGUUUUGCUCGGUUAAGGCAAGGUGUGGUAGGACCAAGCUACUUGGUUUCAGGGUGCAGAAACCGGUCGAGUGAUGGUCCGGCCGAGAUGUCCGCUACCUCACUGGGUUCCACGGUUUGUGGGUUAGCCCGGCAGGAAGGCCGACGGCUAACCAGCUUGAGCUAUCCCGAGCUCGGCUAUGCCGGAAUGCAACCGAGCUCGGUCGUCAUCGAGCUUGGCGAGCGGAGCGCUCUGGCUAGCAACAUAGCACGGCCUUUGGCAGUCGAGAUGCUACAGCCCGGCUGCCGAGCUCCCAGUAGUGUGGGCUGGCAGUUUGGUUAGGUAAUGUUCAGCUAGAUUUACACUGACAGAUGGGAUAGCAGCACCACGUGUCGAGAGACUAAUGGGAGUAGAUUUGGGGCGCAGAAGGUAUAUAAGCGAGUCUGAGCCCCCCAUGCUGGGAUAUAUGAAACAUUUGGUCGAUCGGACAUGCAGGAGCUUGGAAAAAAGGAGUACGGGCUUGCCGGAAUAUUUGCUCCCCGUACACCAACCAUAUCAUCAUUGAUCUUCUUGCUUUCAAAGUCAUCACAAGCUACAAAAUAGAGAUUGCAAGCAAGGAAUUUGUUCUCUCCUCAAUUUUUUCCUACACCAAAAUGCAAGCAAGUAAUUUAUUCUCUUCCUUUGUCCUUUGACAUACUUCGUUUCUGUAUAAAUACAAGGAUUGGGAGGUAAUAUGGAGUACCAACCAUAUCAUUAUUGAUCUUCUUGCUUUCAAAGUCAUCACAGGCUACAAAAUAGAGGUACGAAAGAGUGUUUUUCUUUUCUUCUUUUUAAGAAUAUAUAUGUUUUCUUUUUAAUUAGUUGGCACUGUCUAACUUCUAUCUUUUAGUUUACAUGUUAGCCACAAUAAGAAUUUAAUAUCAUUGCAGGGGUCACCAAGUGAGAUUCUAACUUCUUUAAAGUUAAUCUUGAUUUGUCCUACAUUAUUGUUAUCUCUAUAUUCAUAAAGCCUUAACAAUGUUGUUUAUGAGAAAUGUUUUUCGAGGUUCAAAUAUUUGCAAAAUAAUGUAGACCUUGUAUUUGAUUUUUUACCAGAGGGGUUACUUGCAGAUCCCUUGUUGCGGUUCCCUGCGUUUCUGAGCCUAUUUAAGACCUCGUAUUUGAUUUUUCAACAGGUAAAUACUCAUAUAAUUAACAUUGAGAGAGGGUUGUCUCGUGUUAGUUGGCCCCUCCUAUCUAUUUUACUGAUUGAAUAAUCUAUCGAUUUAUAAUUACACAUCCUUAAAAAGAGUGUAUCAUAUGCAUUUGUAAUUAUGCUAUUUUCUUCUUUAAUUAUGACAUUCUUUUAGUUAUAAUUCAUGUGUUUUUUAGUUAUGCCCAUGUUGUGUUUAGUUAUCAUACGCAUUUUUUUUUUAAGUUGUGACUUAGAAAGUAUGAAAUUAUGUUAUUUUAUUUUUUAAUUAUAAGGUGCAUAUAGUACAUACUUUUUAAGAGUGUGUACCAUAGUUAUACUUAUAUUAAGUAAAAUGUAAGGAGUAUUACAUCCUAGUGGAAUAAAAGAGUUUUUUUUACAUAAACAUGGAGGGGUACAAGAAUAUUUCACUUGUAUUCCAUCACAAAAUCACUUACACCUCACAUAAUUUUGUAUUUUUUUUUCUUUAUCCCGCUAUACUAUAAUUCCCCCUAAGAUAAACUUUUUAUCUGAAAAUGUUCUAUGAGCUCCAAAGUAUUAAUCUAAAUUUAUUAAAUUUUUAAAUUUUAAGAAAUGCACAUGCCAUAGAAAUAUUGGCCAUCUAACCAUAUCUAUAAUUUUGGAAUUCAAAAAUCUUAAUAUAGAAAGUCAAAAAAGAAAUUUAGCCAUCUCUAAUUUGAAAUUUAAAAAUCUUUAAAAAGAAUUCCAAAUAUGAAAUUAGUCUUAAAUAAUUUUAAAAUUUAAAAAUAUUUAUUUCAAAAUUUUCUAUUUUUAUUUUUGAAACUAAACAAUUCAUGCGGCAUCCAUAGAAUUAAAAAAACAUUUAGGCAUC